GAGGAAUAUUGGACAAUGGGCGCAAGCCUGAUCCAGCCAUGCCGCGUGCAGGAAGACGCAUCUAUGGUGUGUAAACUGCUUUUGUACGGGAAGAAACACUCCCUCGUGAGGGAGCUUGACGGUGCCGUAAGAAUAAGGAACGGCUAACUCCGUGCCAGCAGCCGCGGUAAUACGGAGGAUCCAAGCGUUAUCCGGAAUCAUUGGGUUUAAAGGGUCCGUAGGCGGUUUAAUAAGUCAGUGGUGAGAGCCCAUCGCUCAACGAUGGAACGGCCAUUGAUACUGUUAGACUUGAAUUAUUGUGAAGUAACUAGAAUAUGUAGUGUAGCGGUGAAAUGCUUAGAUAUUACAUGGAAUACCAAUUGCGAAGGCAGGUUACUAACAAUAUAUUGACGCUGAUGGACGAAAGCGUGGGGAGCGAAC
rnacentral:rRNA from 1 species